AUUGAACGCUGGCGGCAGGCCUAACACAUGCAAGUCGAGCGGAGCGGCGGACGGGUGCGUAAUGCCUAGGAAUCUGCCUGGUAGUGGGGGAUAACGUCCGGAAACGGGCGCUAAUACCGCAUACUAUCAGAUGAGCCUAGGUCGGAUUAGCUAGUUGGUGGGGUAAAGGCCUACCAGGGCGACGAUCCGUACAGGGUAUGAGAGGAUGAUCAGUCACACUUGAACGGAGACACGUUCCAUACUCCUCCGGGAGGCAUCAUUGGGGAAUAUUGGACAAUGGGCGAAAGCCUGCUCCAGCCAGGCCUCGUGUGUGAAGAAGGUCUUCGGAUUGUAAAGCACUUUAAGUUGGGCGGCGGUACCAACAUAAUAAGCACCGGCUAACUUCGUGCCAGCAGCCGCGGUAAUUC
rnacentral:rRNA from 1 species